AUUGAACGCUGGCGGCAUGCCUUACACAUGCAAGUCGAACGGUAACGGGCCUUCGGGUGCCGACGAGUGGCGAACGGGUGAGUAAUACAUCGGAACGUGCCCGAUCGUGGGGGAUAACGAGGCGAAAGCUUUGCUAAUACCGCAUACGAUCUACGGAUGAAAGCAGGGGACCGCAAGGCCUUGCGCGGACGGAGCGGCCGAUGGCAGAUUAGGUAGUUGGUGGGAUAAAAGCUUACCAAGCCGACGAUCUGUAGCUGGUCUGAGAGGAUGAUCAGCCACACUGGGACUGAGACACGGCCCAGACUCCUACGGGAGGCAGCAGUGGGGAAUUUUGGACAAUGGGCGCAAGCCUGAUCCAGCCAUGCCGCGUGCAGGAUGAAGGCCUUCGGGUUGUAAACUGCUUUUGUACGGAACGAAAAGCCUUCUUCUAAUACAGGAGGGUCAUGACGGUACCGUAAGAAUAAGCACCGGCUAACUACGUGCCAGCAGCAGCCGCCG
rnacentral:rRNA from 1 species